rnacentral:rRNA from 1 species
UACGUAGGUGGCGAGCGUUGUCCGGAUUUACUGGGCGUAAAGGGCGUGCAGGCGGUUUGUUAGGUGCAGGGUGAAAGCUCCCGGCUCAACUGGGAGAGGUCCUUGCAUACUGGCGAACUCGAGGGAGGCAGAGGAAAGUGGAAUUCCCGGUGUAGUGGUGAUAUGCGUAGAUAUCGGGAGGAACACCUGUGGCGAAGGCGGCUUUCUGGGCCUUACCUGACGCUGAGACGCGAAAGCGUGGGGAGCGAACCGG